rnacentral:rRNA from 1 species
UACAGAGGGGGCGAGCGUUGUUCGGAAUUACUGGGCGUAAAGGGCGCGUAGGCGGCCUUCUAAGUCGAACGUGAAAUCCCCGGGCUCAACCCGGGAACUGCGUCCGAUACUGGGAGGCUUGAAUCCGGGAGAGGGAUGUGGAAUUCCAGGUGUAGCGGUGAAAUGCGUAGAUAUCUGGAGGAACACCGGUGGCGAAGGCGGCAUCCUGGACCGGUAUUGACGCUGAGGCGCGAAAGCGUGGGGAGCAAACAGG